rnacentral:rRNA from 1 species
CCUACGGGAUGCAGCAGUGAGGAAUAUUGGGCAAUGGAGGCAACUCUGGCCCAGCCAUGCCGCGUGAGUGAAGAAGGUUUUCGGAUUGUAAAGCACUUUCGGAUGUGACGAUGAUGACGGUAGCAUCUAAAGAAGCCCCGGCUAACUUCGUGCCAGCAGCCGCGGUAAUACGAAGGGGGCAAGCGUUGUUCGGAAUUACUGGGCGGAAAGGGAGUGUAGGCGGUUUAGUAAGAUAGUGGUGAAAUCCCAGGGCUGAACUUGGGAAUUGCCUUUAUAACUAUUAGACUAGAAUUACAGAGAGGAGAGUAGAAUACCAAGUGUAGAGGUGAAAGUCGUAGAGAUUGGGUAGAACACCAGUGGCGAAGGCGACCACCUGG